UCUGCACGAACUCAGGGCAGGUGAGAGAGAAGAUGGGCGGUGCUGUUUGUGAGGAAAUAAUGAGGUGAGGUGAGCACGACGGCUAAAGAAAAAGUCGACCAAAGCAAAGAAUCCUAAGAAAAAAAAGGGCAGGGAGGGAGGCAGGCAGAGCAGCGUCCUGUCUCCCGUCUCCAUCCUUCGGGUUUCGUUCCUGGCUUUCCCCUUCCGCUCUUCCACCCUACCUUCACCUGCUUCAGGCAGCCGAGGGUUUCGGACUUUCGUGUUUCUUGUCGUCGCCGUCGCCGCUGCCGCCGCCGCAGGCUAGUGCUAUAUUGAAGGAGAUAGAGUUGUCAAGAAGAAAGUCCAAGGAGAUAAAUUUAUGGCUUUUGAUGCAAACAAUCUUGUGAUGCACAUCAGGAGACUAGUGCGCUCCUCUAUCAGACUUGGGUAUCAUUCUGCUUGCGGCCAUCCUGAAGUGCUCGGUGCCGGCAUAGCGUUGUUGUUUCUUCAUGCUCUGUGUCCUUCUCUGUUCGCCUUUGUGCUGUCUUCCUCUCCGGUCAUCGUUUUAACCGCGCUUCUUCUCGGAGCACUUUUGAGUUAAGGUGAAGCUGAUGUACCCUUGGAUGGAGAGGAGACACUUGAGGAGCAUGAAUCUUUGUCCCUUAAA